GUUAACGUCUAUCCUGAUGGGUCUUUAUCCUAUAGACUCACAUUCUUGGAAACACUUAUGGAGUAAAUAUGUGGUUUGCUUUAAGCACAGAACUAUUUCUUAGAUCUGUAGGAAAAGAACUACUUGACAGAG
rnacentral:snoRNA from 1 species